rnacentral:rRNA from 1 species
UACGGAGGGUGCAAGCGUUGCUCAGAAUCACUGGGCGUAAAGAGCGUGUAGGCGGUUUCGUAUGUCUGACGUGAAAGCCCCGGGCUCACCCCGGGAAGUGCGUUGGAAACUGCGAGACUAGAGUCCCGGAGAGGAAGGUGGAAUUCCAGGUGUAGCGGUGAAAUGCGUAGAUAUCUGGAAGAACACCGGUGGCGAAGGCGGCCUUCUGGACGGUGACUGACGAUGAGACGCGAAAGCGUGGGGAGCAAACAGG